rnacentral:lncRNA from 1 species
GCUUUUAUUGGAAGCCCUGGCUUUCUGAGAGGAAAAGCGGAAGCAGGCAGGAGGCUGCUUCUGGCUUCUAAAAGCCGUGCGGCCACUGUAGCGAAUAAAUGAACUUUUCAAAAUACCAAUGGGUACCCUUAUGAAUUUGAUGUAAUUACACGACCCAACCUCCACCCCUACCAAUGAGACGCCCCUUCUCUAGUUCUCUUCCUCAACUCUCCGUCUUCUCCGUCAACUCUCUCUCUCUCUCUCUCUCUCUCGGUGCUCUUAAGACGUCGUUCCUCCAUCUUCGUUCUCCCCGGUGGUCACAUUGAGUUCGUUUUAUCUGGAAUACCCAGUUUCCAGUUUCUAGACUUCCACCCAGUUUACGCCUGCUCGUGGUCCAGAUCACUUUUUAUUUCAGGGUAUAUAAAUAUAGUGGAAUUGGGUCACGGGGAAUCACCAACAGCAUCAACAUGAUGACCAAGAUCAAGACCACUGUUCAUGGAUAGCAACGAUGGGAGUCCUCCUCACGGUGGAGAUCCUGCAAUGGAUGCAGGGGAUUGGAGGAACCAAUUGCAGGCGGAUUCGUGGAAAAGAAUUGUCAAUAAGAUGUUACUAUGCUGAAAUUUAAGUGAAUUGUCAAUAAGUGCUCAAGUGAAUUAUUGAAUGAUAUUGUUCAUGUUGCGGAGAUCAUUGUACCUCUGCUAUGAUCUUGAAAUAUAUCACUUUAGAGUAAGUUUCACAUAGCGUUAUAUGGAGUAUAGAUCACAUCAGCAAAGGAAGUUGAUUGAUGCUCAAGUUGUCUUACUUGUCAUGUGGUGAAAUGAAGCUAGAUGAUACUGAUUUUGCCAAUUUUGAGCUUUGUUUCCAAAGUGGGAAACCAAUGUUACUGGACUCGUGAUGAUCUUUUAUUUUAUAGUUUUUAGUUUUGAUCCUUGGUUUGAGCUUGAUGUAGAAGCACAAGUAUUCUGUGCUAGUUAUGUAUAGCAUCAAAUAAGAAAUGUUACAUUCC